UACGUAGGGGGCUAGCGUUGUCCGGAAUCAUUGGGCGUAAAGCGCGUGUAGGCGGUUCGGUAAGUCUGCUGUGAAAGUCCAGGGCUCAACCCUGGGAUGCCGGUGGAUACUGUCGGACUAGAGUACGGAAGAGGCGAGUGGAAUUCCCGGUGUAGCGGUGAAAUGCGCAGAUAUCGGGAGGAACACCAAUUGCGAAGGCAGCUCGCUGGGACGUUACUGACGCUGAGACGCGAAAGCGUGGGGAGCAAACAGG
rnacentral:rRNA from 1 species